UACGGGGGGGCAAGCGUUGUUCGGAAUUACUGGGCGUAAAGGGCGCGUAGGCGGCCACCGCAAGUCGGUUGUGAAAUCUCCGGGCUUAACCCGGAAAGGUCAAUCGAUACUGCGGGGCUAGAGUGCAGAAGGGGCAACUGGAAUUCUCGGUGUAGCGGUGAAAUGCGUAGAUAUCGAGAGGAACACCUGCGGCGAAGGCGGGUUGCUGGGCUGACACUGACGCUGAAGCGCGAAAGCUAGGGGAGCGAACGGG
rnacentral:rRNA from 1 species